rnacentral:rRNA from 1 species
UACGUAGGGAGCAAGCGUUGUCCGGAAUCAUUGGGCGUAAAGCGCGCGUAGGUGGCCAUGUAAGUCCGCUGUGAAAGUCAAAGGCUCAACCUUUGAAAGCCGAUGGAUACUGUGAAGCUAGAGUACGGAAGAGGCGAGUGGAAUUCCUGGUGUAGCGGUGGAAUGCGCAGAUAUCAGGAGGAACACCAAUAGCGAAGGCAGCUCGCUGGGACGUUACUGACACUGAGGCGCGAAAGCGUGGGGAGCGAACAGG